rnacentral:rRNA from 1 species
UACGUAGGGGGCGAGCGUUGUCCGGAUUCAUUGGGCGUAAAGAGCUCGUAGGCGGCUUGGCAAGUCGGGUGUGAAAACUCCAGGCUCAACCUGGAGACGCCACCCGAUACUGCCAUGGCUUGAGUCCGGUAGGGGACCACGGAAUUCCUGGUGUAGCGGUGAAAUGCGUAGAGAUCCGGAGGAACACCGACGGCGUAGGCAGCGCCCUGGCUGUGAAUAAAGCUGACACUGAGGCACGAAAGCUGGGGGAGCAAACAGG